CUUACUUAAUUGAUGACAACUUCAUACUCAAAUCAGAGAAAUUAUGUUGAAAUCCUCUUAACAUGCAUCACCAUCUGAAUAACAAAU
rfam:Drosophila simulans chromosome 3L, whole genome shotgun sequence.